rnacentral:misc_RNA from 1 species
GAUGAAGAACGUAGCGAAAUGCGAUAAGUAAUGUGAAUUGCAGAAUUCAGUGAAUCAUCGAAUCUUUGAACGCACAUUGCGCCCGCUGGUAUUCCGGCGGGCAUGCCUGUUCGAGCGUCAUUUCAACCCUCAAGCUCUCCGGAGUUUGGUGUUGGGGCGCCUGGGGCUUUUCGACCUCAGGGCCCUCAAGUCCAUCGGCGGGACCGCCAGGACACUGAGCGCAGUAGUAUUAUUUCGCUCGGUAGGAUCUUCCAUGGCGGGUCGAUCUGGCCGCUAAACCCCCCAAUUCUCACCAAAGGUUGACCUCGGAUCAGGUAGGAAUACCCGCUGAACUUAAGCAUAUCAAUAGCGGAGGA